rnacentral:rRNA from 1 species
CUUCGGUACAUCGGUGACAGGUGGUGCAUGGUUGUCGUCAGCUCGUGUCGUGAGAUGUUGGGUUAAGUCCCGCAACGAGCGCAACCCCUAUUGUUAGUUGCCAUCAUUCAGUUGGGCACUCUAGCGAGACUGCCGGUAAUAAACCGGAGGAAGGUGGGGAUGACGUCAAAUCAUCAUGCCCCUUAUGACCUGGGCUACACACGUGCUACAAUGGUUGGUACAACGAGUUGCGAGUCGGUGACGGCGAGCUAAUCUCUUAAAGCCAAUCUCAGUUCGGAUUGUAGGCUGCAACUCGCCUACAUGAAGUCGGAAUCGCUAGUAAUCGCGGAUCAGCACGCCGCGGUGAAUACGUUCCCGGGCCUU